GAUUAAGUUAUUAAGGGCGCACGGUGGAUGCCUUGGCACUAGAAGCCGAUGAAGGACGUUACUAACGACGAUAUGCUUUGGGGAGCUGUAAGUAAGCUUUGAUCUAGAGAUUUCCGAAUGGGGAAACCCAGCAUGAGUUAUGUCAUGUUAUCGAUAUGUGAAUACAUAGCAUAUCAGAAGGCACACCCGGAGAACUGAAACAUCUUAGUACCCGGAGGAAGAGAAAGAAAAUUCGAUUCCCUUAGUAGCGGCGAGCGAAACGGGAAGAGCCCAAACCAACAAGCUUGCUUGUUGGGGUUGUAGGACACUCUAUACGGAGUUACAAAGGACGACAUUAGACGAAUCAUCUGGAAAGAUGAAUCAAAGAAGGUAAUAAUCCUGUAGUCGAAAAUGUUGUCUCUCUUGAGUGGAUCCUGAGUACGACGGAGCACGUGAAAUUCCGUCGGAAUCUGGGAGGACCAUCUCCUAAGGCUAAAUACUCUCUAGUGACCGAUAGUGAACCAGUACCGUGAGGGAAAGGUGAAAAGCACCCCGGAAGGGGAGUGAAAUAGAACCUGAAACCGUGUGCUUACAAGUAGUCAGAGCCCGUUAAUGGGUGAUGGCGUGCCUUUUGUAGAAUGAACCGGCGAGUUACGAUUUGAUGCAAGGUUAAGCAGUAAAUGUGGAGCCGUAGCGAAAGCGAGUCUGAAUAGGGCGUUUAGUAUUUGGUCGUAGACCCGAAACCAGGUGAUCUACCCUUGGUCAGGUUGAAGUUCAGGUAACACUGAAUGGAGGACCGAACCGACUUACGUUGAAAAGUGAGCGGAUGAACUGAGGGUAGCGGAGAAAUUCCAAUCGAACCUGGAGAUAGCUGGUUCUCUCCGAAAUAGCUUUAGGGCUAGCCUCAAGUGAUGAUUAUUGGAGGUAGAGCACUGUUUGGACGAGGGGCCCCUCUCGGGUUACCGAAUUCAGACAAACUCCGAAUGCCAAUUAAUUUAACUUGGGAGUCAGAACAUGGGUGAUAAGGUCCGUGUUCGAAAGGGAAACAGCCCAGACCACCAGCUAAGGUCCCAAAAUAUAUGUUAAGUGGAAAAGGAUGUGGCGUUGCCCAGACAACUAGGAUGUUGGCUUAGAAGCAGCCAUCAUUUAAAGAGUGCGUAAUAGCUCACUAGUCGAGUGACACUGCGCCGAAAAUGUACCGGGGCUAAACAUGUUACCGAAGCUGUGGAUUGUCCUUUGGACAAUGGUAGGAGAGCGUUCUAAGGGCGUUGAAGCAUAAUCGUAAGGACAUGUGGAGCGCUUAGAAGUGAGAAUGCCGGUGUGAGUAGCGAAAGACGGGUGAGAAUCCCGUCCACCGAUUGACUAAGGUUUCCAGAGGAAGGCUCGUCCGCUCUGGGUUAGUCGGGUCCUAAGCUGAGGCCGACAGGCGUAGGCGAUGGAUAACAGGUUGAUAUUCCUGUACCACCUAUAAUCGUUUUAAUCGAUGGGGGGACGCAGUAGGAUAGGCGAAGCGUGCGAUUGGAUUGCACGUCUAAGCAGUAAGGCUGAGUAUUAGGCAAAUCCGGUACUCGUUAAGGCUGAGCUGUGAUGGGGAGAAGACAUUGUGUCUUCGAGUCGUUGAUUUCACACUGCCGAGAAAAGCCUCUAGAUAGAAAAUAGGUGCCCGUACCGCAAACCGACACAGGUAGUCAAGAUGAGAAUUCUAAGGUGAGCGAGCGAACUCUCGUUAAGGAACUCGGCAAAAUGACCCCGUAACUUCGGGAGAAGGGGUGCUCUUUAGGGUUAACGCCCAGAAGAGCCGCAGUGAAUAGGCCCAAGCGACUGUUUAUCAAAAACACAGGUCUCUGCUAAACCGUAAGGUGAUGUAUAGGGGCUGACGCCUGCCCGGUGCUGGAAGGUUAAGAGGAGUGGUUAGCUUCUGCGAAGCUACGAAUCGAAGCCCCAGUAAACGGCGGCCGUAACUAUAACGGUCCUAAGGUAGCGAAAUUCCUUGUCGGGUAAGUUCCGACCCGCACGAAAGGCGUAACGAUUUGGGCACUGUCUCAACGAGAGACUCGGUGAAAUCAUAGUACCUGUGAAGAUGCAGGUUACCCGCGACAGGACGGAAAGACCCCGUGGAGCUUUACUGUAGCCUGAUAUUGAAAUUCGGCACAGCUUGUACAGGAUAGGUAGGAGCCUUUGAAACGUGAGCGCUAGCUUACGUGGAGGCGCUGGUGGGAUACUACCCUAGCUGUGUUGGCUUUCUAACCCGCACCACUUAUCGUGGUGGGAGACAGUGUCAGGCGGGCAGUUUGACUGGGGCGGUCGCCUCCUAAAAGGUAACGGAGGCGCUCAAAGGUUCCCUCAGAAUGGUUGGAAAUCAUUCAUAGAGUGUAAAGGCAUAAGGGAGCUUGACUGCGAGACCUACAAGUCGAGCAGGGUCGAAAGACGGACUUAGUGAUCCGGUGGUUCCGCAUGGAAGGGCCAUCGCUCAACGGAUAAAAGCUACCCCGGGGAUAACAGGCUUAUCUCCCCCAAGAGUUCACAUCGACGGGGAGGUUUGGCACCUCGAUGUCGGCUCAUCGCAUCCUGGGGCUGUAGUCGGUCCCAAGGGUUGGGCUGUUCGCCCAUUAAAGCGGUACGCGAGCUGGGUUCAGAACGUCGUGAGACAGUUCGGUCCCUAUCCGUCGUGGGCGUAGGAAAUUUGAGAGGAGCUGUCCUUAGUACGAGAGGACCGGGAUGGACAUACCUCUGGUGUACCAGUUGUCGUGCCAACGGCAUAGCUGGGUAGCUAUGUGUGGACGGGAUAAGUGCUGAAAGCAUCUAAGCAUGAAGCCCCCCUCAAGAUGAGAUUUCCCAACUUCGGUUAUAAGAUCCCUCAAAGAUGAUGAGGUUAAUAGGUUCGAGGUGGAAGCAUGGUGACAUGUGGAGCUGACGAAUACUAAUCGAUCGAAGACUUAAUCAA
rnacentral:rRNA from 1 species